AGGAAGAGAGAUUCGUGCGAGUACUCGCGCGGUGGGAUACUCGGCGAUUUAUUAAAGAGUAAAUUAAAAUUACAUCGCGCGAUUGAGAAAUUAGCGUGUUUUUUUUUUUUUUUUUCUUCGAGGAGACCCCGGCUGAAGACGAUGAGAACGUAAGGUGAGGAUGUAAGAGCGACGCCGCACCUGGAGCGUCUCCGAUCCGCGGUACGAUGGCGCGGAAAUGGUGACGAAUUUCAAUAUUGUACAUCUGGCCACUCGUCCUAAGGGAUACAUAAACCAUAAGUAAGGAUGGCCUUUCACUGGGAUAAGCUCUCGCCAGCAGAAUUCCAACAACUCCAGGACUUGGCAGCUUAUUCAACGCGGAAACUUCAGGAUGUUUUGACUGAAUUUUGCGGAAACAAUACGACGCCAAGUGGCGUGCCGAAAUAUCAUCCGGACGGAGACAUUGAUUACGAGGGUUUUCGCAAAUUUCUGAAUUCCUACCUGGAGAUCGAUACACCGGAUGAAUUAUGCCGACAUCUUUUCCUUUCGUUCGUCAGGAAAGACUCGCGCGGGGUGGAUGGCAAAGCUUUCAAAGAGAUGGCUGUGCUCUCCUCGACAACCGCCUGUGCCGCAAUUACGUCGCACACGACUUCCAGCAGUAACGUUAAUAGCACCGGCGGAACUUCCGCGGAGACCCACGGCGGAUCUACAUUGGCUGACAAAAUACACGGAAUUACGGAAAAAUUGCAAGCACUAGGUCAUCACAGAACGGAAAACGAAGUCUCCAGGACGCGAACCGGAAGCGUUCAUCCGAUGUUAACGGUCACCCAUACAUCAUACAGCUGUUACGAUGUGCUAGAGAAAAAGAGCACAGAUAGCAGUCCAAGUCACAGCCAAAUGUCGCGAAAUUCGUCCAGGAAGUCGAACAAUUCCCUCCUCGUCAACAACGGGAAAUUGGAAGAGAUGAGGCAUCUUGUCAGAAAGCAGAGCACAAUAGAUGUCCAAUCUGUUAAAGUCAGUCUCAAAGACAUCGUUUGUUAUCUCUCUCUCCUGGAAGCCGGCAGACCGGAGGAUAAACUGGAAUUCAUGUUCCGGCUAUAUGAUACGGAUGGAAAUGGUGUCCUUGACACGAACGAGAUGGACUGUAUCGUAAACCAAAUGAUGAAUGUCGCGGAAUAUCUCGGUUGGGAUGUCACAGAGCUGAAACCGAUCCUACAGGAUAUGAUGAUAGAGAUUGAUUACGAUGCAGACGGUACAGUCUCAUUGGAAGAAUGGAAACGAGGUGGUCUUACGACAAUCCCUCUCUUGGUUCUUCUGGGUCUGGAUUCCCAUGUGAAAGAAGAUGGGAAUCAUCUAUGGAGAUUGAAGCAUUUCAGCAAACCGGCGUAUUGCAAUCUUUGUCUAAAUAUGCUGGUUGGUCUCGGCAAGAAAGGGCUUUGUUGCGUCUUUUGCAAAUACACAGUACACGAGAGAUGCGUGCAAAGAGCGCCCGCUUCCUGUAUAGCCACUUAUGUCAAGAGCAAAAAGACAUCCCAGACAAUGGUUCAUCAUUGGGUCGAAGGUAAUUGCCACGGGAAAUGUUCCAAGUGCAGAAAGACGAUCAAAAGUUACAACGGCAUUACCGGUUUACACUGCAGAUGGUGCCAAUUAACCUUGCAUAAUAGAUGCGCGUCGCAAGUACGAGCGGAAUGUACGCUCGGCGAGCAUGCAGUACACAUCCUUCCACCUACAGCGAUUUGUCCCGUUGUGCUGGAUAGACAAAGAUCAUUGUCGAGGGACAGUAAACGAGGUAGCAAACACGGUCAAGAUUCCUCAUCAGUCAGUUCCGGUGGUUUUCUAAGCUGCGGUAGUUCGUCGAAUCAACAACCAGCUAUGUCUUUUCAAAUUACGCCACCGGAGAACACUGUGCCACUCUUAGUAUUCAUAAAUCCAAAAUCGGGUGGCCGACAAGGCGAGCGAAUGCUACGAAAAUUUCAAUACAUUUUGAACCCUCGACAAGUCCAUAAUCUAGCGAUUGGUGGACCUAUGCAGGGUUUGCAAAUGUUCAAGGACGUGGAAAAUUUUAAAGUGAUCUGUUGCGGCGGCGAUGGAACGGUCGGUUGGGUUUUAGAAACGAUGGAUCGUGUGCAAUUUGAAAAACAACCUGCCGUUGGCGUUAUACCUCUCGGUACGGGAAAUGAUCUCGCAAGAUGCUUACGCUGGGGUGGUGGUUACGAAGGAGAAGCCGUGCAUAAAGUGCUUAAGAAAAUAGAAAAGGCGACGCAGGUAAUGAUGGAUCGCUGGCAAAUAGAAGUUUUGGAUCAAAUGGACGAGAAGAAACCGAAUCAAGAUAGUAUACCGUACAAUAUCAUUAAUAAUUAUUUCUCAGUUGGCGUCGAUGCUGCCAUUUGCGUAAAGUUUCAUAUGGAGAGGGAAAAAAAUCCCGAGAAAUUUAAUAGCAGGAUGAAAAAUAAACUGUGGUAUUUUGAAUACGCAACUACAGAGCAAUUUGCUGCCAGUUGCAAAAAUCUUCACGAGGAUCUCGAAAUAAUCUGCGACGGUACACCUCUAGAUUUGGCACACGGGCCAUCUUUGCAAGGAGUCGCAUUACUAAACAUUCCUUUCACUCACGGGGGUUCGAAUCUUUGGGGUGAACAUCACACGCGGCAUCGUCUUGGUAAACGAAAAAAGCGACCAGACAAAGAACUUAGUAGCAGUAGCUUCAAUUCCGUAGAUCUCACCGCCGCGAUUCAAGACAUCGGGGACAAUCUCAUAGAAGUAAUCGGUUUGGAGAACUGCUUGCAUAUGGGUCAAGUGAAGACUGGAUUGCGACAUUCCGGUAGAAGACUAGCCCAAUGCAGCAGCGUCACCAUCAAAACAAGCAAACGAUUCCCCAUGCAGAUCGAUGGAGAACCUUGGAUGCAAGGUCCUUGCACGAUUCGCAUUACACAUAAAAAUCAAGUACCAAUGCUGAUGGCACCACCACCGGACAAGAGUAAAGGUUUCUUCCGAUUUUUAAGGAGGUGAAUACAAUAGCUUUACGCUUUUAACGAAGGAGGAUGGAUUCUAUCGAGUGAAAAAAUCAAUUCCAACCCAACUUCUAAGUCUUGUCAUCGGCCGGCACGUUUUCUCUUUAUUACGGCAGAAAUGUAUCGAUUUCAUCGUACGUAGUCGCAGCUUCGAUACUCAUCUAAACGCGAAAAACACAAGCGUCAACGCGCUUAGUAUCUUUCAGAUUUAGCGAAAGCAAACUCGUUUGCAAAGAUGUCGUCCUUUCAAUUAAGGAUCAAGUUACUUCGCGCAAGUCAUCAAUUGCUCGGCGAAAGCUUUCGUGUUUCCGAAUUCUGCUGCUUUUUACAUGUGUGCAGAUCGACUGGUGCACAUAUUUACGCAAGAAAUGGGCAACACGUUGACACGGCGAAUUAUGCGGUGUCGUGCAAACGAGAGUGGGAGUUGUAACAACCACUUAUCAAUUUAGUGCGUACAUGGAUAUAAUUCUUUCAAGAUCUAUCGCCGAACAAUUAGCACUUCUAGCGUAGAAAGGAUGGGCAAACAAAUAUGGACUGGACUGGUCGACAUAUUUUCGCUUACGUGAUACGUGAUAUAUUCCUAAUUCUGGUUCUCCUUUGCACGAAUCCGUCCGUUAAUCUCACGAGUCACAUAUACCUUCCUCUCUUAACUCUAAGUUUUUUAUAAGGCUUAGUCGUAAACGCUUAGAUAUGAAUUAGAACUUAUUUAUUUAUUUAUUCAACAUAUUUAUUUAUUUAUUUUUCAUAUAUUUUAUAAGUCAGAGCAAUAUAUCAUAAGCAUAUCAACGAGCGAGUGCGAUUACGUAGCAAGUUGUAAUGUGUUUGGUUGUUAAUAUUUAUGAGAAAUUAUGAAUCUAACUCUACGAGUUACGUAAUUAAUAGAUAUCAUUUAACCCACAUGCGGAUUAUAAAUCUCGAUAGUAAAUAUACUUAUAACUUGCGUCUUUAUAUAUCACAUUUAUUAUAUCUUUUUUAAUGAUAGUAAUUAUUACUUUUUAUAGUCUCUUGUAUAUUUCAACUAUUUUUGCACUUUAUGCUUGCAAAGAAUUAUAAGUAAAUUUCUCGUAAAUGUAUUAAUAUAUGUUUUCUUGUUACAUGUAUGAGCGCCUGUGUAUUACACACUACUGGUGGCUCUAUACUGAUUUAAGUAAUGGAUGCUUCGAAGCACUUUCCUUCUUCUCAGCUACAGUUACUCUGAUUAAAAUUUUGUCAAUAACUAUUGCGCGAUUCUAUAUUAUUUCUUAAUAUUUUCAUAAAUGUUAAGAAAACAAGUAGCCAAUAUAGUCAUUAAGUGUACCGUUUAUUAAAUCAUAUGAAUUCUAUUUCCAUGCACUUGUUAAACGCAUUUUGAUAAUAUAUAAUAUAAUAUGAAAUUUGAGAUAUAUAUCAAUCUUGAAUCUAAUGUAGUGAAACGAAAUUUUGUUUUUGUAAUUAUAUAUAUAUAUAUAUAUAUAUAUAUAUAUAUAUAUAUAUAUAUAUAUAUACGCAGCCAAAGGAAUAAUAUAGCAAAUACGAUUUAAAAUCCCGCAGGGACCAUCUCGAUAUAUAAACAAAGACGAUUUUAAAUUUUCAUAUCUUCGUGCAGAUCGAAAUCUUAAUCUUUUGUAAGAUGCUUAAACCGCCAUUUUUGCGACAUUUCUCAUGGCUACCUAGAUUUUACUUGUGUCUACUAUGCGAAAUAAACUAAAGAAAUGUGACAAUUAGCUGAUUUAAAAAAGAAAAUACUGUAUAAGUGGAAAUUGUAUAGAGUUUACAUUUAUAAUGAUUCAAAGUACAACAUUAUUUCCGGAAAGUAGAUUAUUUAGUCCUUCUCCAAGCACCAAUCGCUCACGAUCGUCAUUGUUUUUUAUCGAUCUUCCGUGACGAUUAACGCGGUUAAUUAUAGUCAUUAGAGUAAUUGAAAUACUACGCUUAUAACUAAAACUCGUAACCAAUAAAAAGUCUUAAUUUUCGAGUUGUCUAUUAGCGAUCGAAUUUUAGGGGAACGAAAAAUGAAGAAGAAAAUGAAAAAUCGUCGCGAGGACAAACAGGAGUCUAUCCCUGCGGUCCAUUUAACAUGUGAAUAUUAACGGCACAAUAACGACGAUAUUGUUUUUCUAUUGGAUUGGCGCAGUGUCUCAGUGUGCUUUGUCAUUGUGUAACAUUAUAUAUGAUGUAAAAAGACCCAAAAAAUUUAUUCAUUUAUGCGGCAGUACGAAAAGUAAGGCAUUUGCUUGAGGACUUGUUGGAAAUUCGAGUACACAAUUUACAGCAACAAUCUCCAAAUAAUUCCCAAGACAAGAGUGUGAACGAUUUUCCAAAAAGAAUCUAGCGAAUUUAAUAUUUCAAGAACAUAUAGCUAUUUCGUCGUAAAGAAAGUACUUGCAAUAGCGAAGUGUGAAUCGGAUAUAAAAGUUAUAGAAUUUUUGUUAUAAGAUCAUUGAAGUUAUGUAUAGUUUUAAAAGAAAAUGAAAAUGAAUGAAUAACUGAUUUUGCAAUAUGCUGAACAAAUGAUGAAUAUGCAGUAUGUAUAAUAAUAAUAAAAAAAAAUAUUGUAAACAAUAAAAAUUACUCAACAGAAUUAAAUGCAAAUAAAAAAAAUGUCUACAAGAUUAAAAUGGAAAUUUGUUAUGCUUAAAAUAGCAAUAUUUUGGACCGUUAACAAAUUUCAAACAAGAAAAAUUUCUUAUGAGAUUUAUAUAUUAAAAACGAAAAAGAACAGAAAGAAAGCAAUGCAUAUAGCUUCAUAAAUUUGGAUCUAAAUUAGCAAUUUAAUUUAGGAAAAUAAAUUUUUGUAUAAUUUUCUUUCAAUCUAUUUAUGUUUUGCACGACUAAAGUGUGUAGCAAAUUACAGAAGAACCUUAUGUCAUUAAGGUACAAAUAUUGAGCUUUAUUGAAAGCAGAAUUAUUAUGUUAAUUAUUAUUUUAAUCCGAUUCACGCUUUUCUCCUCUCGCUUCGAUGGUGAUCCGCAACUACGUCUGAUAUAUGUUUACGAACGCGUUAUAGUUGUUAAGCGCUACUUACGAAUAUCGACAUUAGCUGAAUUUACUGCCAUCUUUUUUGGGUCUAUAUGUACGUUUGAGCACUACUGCCAUUUUCCAAAGGAUAGACACGUACGCGAAUGAAAAAAACCUGUCUAUAGUGUAAUAUAAUAUAAGAAAUAAAGUGUAA